AAAGGGGCUUCGGCUCCGAGUAAAGUGGCGCACGGGUGAGUAACACGUAGGUAACCUGCCUCUAAGAUUGGGAUAACCUGUCGAAAGACGAGCUAAUACCAAAUAAGACCACAGUCUCCUCGGGGACAGGGGUCAAAGGUAGCCUCUAUUUAUAAGCUAUCGCUAAGAGAUGGGCCUGCGUACCAUUAGCUAGUUGGUGAGGUAACGGCUCACCAAGGCAAAGAUGGUUAGCUGGUCUGAGAGGAUGAUCAGCCACACUGGGACUGAGACACGGCCCAGACUCCUACGGGGGGCAGCAGUGAGGAAUUUUCGGCAAUGGGCGCAAGCCUGACCGAGCAACGCCGCGUGCAGGAGGACGCUUUUCGGAG
rnacentral:rRNA from 1 species